rnacentral:rRNA from 1 species
UGGCGCCUACGGGACGCAGCAGUGGGGAAUAUUGGGCAAUGGAGGAAACUCUGACCCAGCAAUGCUGCGUGAAUGAAGAAGGUCUUCGGAUUGUAAAGUUCUUUAGUCAGGGAAGAAGUCAAUGACGGUACCUGAAGAAUAAGCUCCGGCUAACUACGUGCCAGCAGCCGCGGUAAUACGUAGGGAGCAAGCGUUGUUCGGAAUGACUGGGCGUAAAGGGUGCGUAGGCGGUUGGACAAGUUAGAAGUGAAAUACCCAGGGCUUAACUUGGGUGGUGCUUCUAAAACUGUAUGACUUGAGUGCAG